GACUUGCGGCAGCGGCGUGACUUACGGCUGCCCCGCCCCCUCAGAGAGCGCUGUUAAUGGGCGGGAAAUACGGAGGCUGGCGCCCUCUCUUUAUGCUGUGAGCCGGUGGCACCUCAGCAUGACCCAGUCGGUGGUUGUGCAGGUCGGCCAGUGCGGAAACCAGAUAGGCUGCUGCUUCUGGGACCUGGCGCUGAGGGAGCAUGCCGCGGUCAACCAGAAAGCAAUUUAUGAUGAGGCAAUAAGCAGCUUCUUUAGAAAUGUGGAUACCAGAGUGGCUGAUGGUGGCAGUAUUUCCAGGGGGAAAAUUUGUUCUUUAAAAGCACGAGCUGUCUUGAUUGACAUGGAGGAAGGAGUAGUAAAUGAAAUUCUUCAGGGACCAUUGAGAGAUGUAUUUGAUAGUAAACAGCUCAUCACUGAUAUUUCUGGCUCAGGGAAUAAUUGGGCUGUGGGUCACAAAGUGUUUGGCAGUCUUUAUCAGGAAAAGAUUUUAGAGAAACUCAGAAAGUCAGCAGAGCACUGUGAUUGUUUGCAGUGUUUUUUUAUCAUACAUUCCAUGGGAGGAGGAACAGGAUCUGGACUUGGCACAUUUCUUUUAAAGGUGCUUGAGGAUGAAUUCCCAGAAGUAUACAGAUUUGUGACUUCAGUUUAUCCUUCUGGUGAGGAUGAUGUCAUAACCUCACCUUAUAAUAGCAUCUUGGCAAUGAAGGAACUUAAUGAGCAUGCAGACUGCGUGUUACCCAUUGACAACCAAUCUUUAUUUGACAUCAUUAGCAAACUUAACCUCAUGGUGAAUUCUGGAAAGUUGGGUACAGCUAUAAAGCCAAAGAGCCUGGUUACUUCAAGUGCUGGGGCUUUUAAAAAACGACAGGAGAAGCCCUUUGAUGCAAUGAACAACAUUGUGGCAAAUUUGCUGCUCAACCUAACCAGCUCUGCAAGGUUUGAAGGAUCCCUUAAUAUGGACCUUAAUGAAAUCAGCAUGAAUUUAGUUCCUUUUCCUCAACUGCAUUAUCUUGUGUCUAGCCUAACACCUCUGUAUACACUGGCAGAUGUUAACAUUCCUCCUCGAAGGUUGGAUCAGAUGUUUUCAGAUGCCUUUAGUAAAGAUCACCAACUAAUUCAAGCUGACCCCAAACAUAGUCUCUACCUCGCCUGUGCCCUCAUGGUUAGAGGAAAUGUACAGAUUUCUGAUCUUCGCAGAAAUAUUGAAAGUUUGUCUCCUGGAAUCAAGAAGGCUGGAAGACCAGUCUGUGUUCAGUACCUCCUGUGGGCCAUUCCCAUUCCUUAUUAGCUUUAGCAAACAACACAUGUGUGAAGCCUACCUUCAUAGAACUGAAAGCACGAUUCAGGAGGCUCUACAAGAAAAAGGCUCAUCUUCAUCACUAUCUACAAAUUGAAGGGAUGGAGGAAAGCUGUUUCACAGAAGCCAUGUCAUCUUUAUCAACACUCAUAGAGGAAUAUAACCAACUGGAUGCCACAAAAUGCAUGCCUACAGAAGAUGUACCUAGACUAAGUGUAGCUAUAUAAAAAAGAAAUCCCAAAGAUACAACUUUCUUUUCUUAAUUUCACAUUUUUCAUCCCCUCUCUGUUUCAUAAUUUUUGUGAUUCAGAAAGCCUAAUGUAUGUUUUUACUAUUGGGAAGUAUAUUUAUCUAAAAGAGUGGUUUCCAUUUAAUCACAAUUUGUUGGUGCUACCUCUGUGUGAAAUUAGCCAAGUCUGAGUAACUUAACUUCAAACAUUUGUCUUCCACAAAGUCCUGUUUUCUAAAAUUGAAAGAACAGAGUUCUUCAACAUUUUACUUUGUUUAUAGUCUUAUAUUUAUGCAUUUAUACAAAGAUAAUCAUGUCUUAGGUAAAAAUCUUAUGCAGAUAUAUUUUUAUAUGUAUGCGUAAUUUAUGUUUUCAUAUUCUGUUUAGACUUUUAUUCUACUCCCAUAUAUACUUUUAAAGAGUCAGAAAAGAAUAUAAAUAUUUCUGUGUAAUAUCCACUAACUUUUCACAAUAGUCUUUUUGGGGUUUUUCUGGCCAUGCCUACAGGGCCAGGAUUGAACCUGCACCACAGCAGCAACCUAAGUUGCUGCAGUGACAACACUGGAUUCUUAACCUGUUGUGCCAUCAGAGCACUCUAGGAAUAGAUUUUAUUACAACUCUUAAGGAGGGUUUCUUUCUUUUGUGGGCAACCACUUCUUUGCACUCCAAAGAAACAAUUUACACUUAUUUUAACUCAUGUAUGUAUUAAGUUAUUUCUAAAUAUAAUGCUUUUUUAAUCAAACUGGUUGAUUUUGUAAUAAUGCCCAUAUUUUUAAACUAUGCAACUUAACAGUUUUGCUUGUCACUAUUCAUAAGUGAAUAGAACAUUAUUACUGAGCUUGAUAGUUUCUUUCAAACUUUGCAGCAAAUGAGUAUAAUAGUCUAAUGAAAGUAUUCCAUUUACUAUAAAUCUCCAGUUUUAGUCUUCAGCAUUUAUUUUUAAUCACAAUUUAUAUUUAAAAUGCAUAUCAUUUAAGGAAUUUUUAGGAACAAUUUAUUUUCAAGCCGAAAAAAUUGUCACGUGCUUUAAUGUUUUUUUUUUUGUUUUGUUUUUAAGUUUCUUUCCUUUUCAGAGUAAAGAUACUGCUCAUGGUCAUUAUUUUCGAAAUCCAAUUUUUUACAGUAUUUGGUAUAAAAAAAUUAGAUUACAGUUGUCAACAGUGACCAAAGAAAGUUACACUUUCUCCUUCCAAAAGAAAUCUUAAUAAACAAUAUUUAGGAUAGGGUAAUUUAGAGCUUAAUCUUACUCCUAUUUAAGAUUUAAACUAGAAUCUUGCUCCCCCUAUAAUGAUUAUCAUGUGAUUGGAACCUAGGCUAUUUGUCAAAGUACAGAUAAAGUUUUAAAAAUUUAAUAUACUUCUUUAUACCUUUACCAAAUUAUUCCAUAUUAGAAUAAAAUGUUCUCAUAAAUUGUU